UUCAGCAGCCAUAUCACUUUGCAACUCACAACUGGCAACCCACUGAAUCUAAGCAGGUGUGAGCCAGGUCAGUACCUGGAUGGGAGACUCCUGGGAGAAAAUAAGGUUGCUGCUGGAA
rnacentral:rRNA from 1 species